GUAAGCUGUUUAAUAUAAUAAAAAAUGUCUUUUCAUAUUCCUAUCGGCGCAUACAAAGUUGGCAGACUAUAAGCAUCAAGUUUCACAUCAAACGUGAAAAAAGCAGAAUGUCGAAAAUAAUUAUAAUUUUGGUAUUUUGUUGUUCCAUCAUCAUUAUCUCUUGUCAAGAAUUCAAAAUAGACACACGCUUGACGACCGCUGUAACAGAAGGCGGCGGUUGGUGGAAUCAACCGAAUACCAAUUCCAAAAAAGAAAACACAAAAGUUAAAACAAAAGACUUUGAAAAGCUACAAACAGAAGAACACCUAGAUGUUCUGCGAGAAGUCCUUGAAGAUCUUUACUAAGUGUGAAUAAAAUUCAAGUCAUUUAGGGAGUAUAAUCAGCGAAACCUUUCUUAUUUUUCUUUAGAGCUAUAUGUUUGGCAUGGCUUACUGAAAUGACGGAUUUUUUUGUAAAAAAAGAACCUUUUUUUUAUUUUCUAUAAUUUGAAUCCCGCACUGACUUGUCAUUUCGUUAUACUCAGCAUUCAAGAAAUUAUAUCCAGUAUUUUAGUUGAAUUUUAUCAGUUAUUGUUAUUUUUGUAGAAGACCACAGAAAAUAUACGAAUAGCAUCCUAAUGGAAUACUAAUUUCCAAUUUGGUAAAUGAGCGACUGUCUGUUUAUGAGCGACCGCCUUUUUAUGGUGUUUUAAUUUGAUUUUAAAUUUGUUCAAACUUAGGUCAUGCGAUUUUACCCGGAAGUAAAGAAGGCUGAUCUCCGAGGGCAAGUUAAGAGCCAUUACUAAAAUGUCAAAAAGAUACUGAAACUAUGUUUAUUUAUGUUGGUGCGUUGCACCAUGAUAAGUACAUAUUAGCGGGACAAUUGAGCAGUUUAAUUAAGUAAAUUCUAAUUUCAAAUUGAAUAUCCAAAUGGGAUAGUAAAUUCUCCGAAUCGGUCCUCAGACGAAAAUUCGGGACCGCCUCCAUCUUGUUUUUGAUUUUGUCUACCCAAAGGCAAAGGUGAAUUCCUCAUAUUUUUAUUGAGGACAUAUUUUCAAAAUGCAGCUCUGACAUAUGACUUUUCUUUCUAGUGAUUUAUUAAAGAAAAAUAUUUUUAUUUCGUGUGAACACUAAGCAAACUGUCUGAGUGAUAGAUAACAAGUUUUCGACACUUUAUGUGUCUGCGGGACACAUUCCAGUGAAAAAAUCAA